AGUCGAACGAAGUAGCAAUACUUAGUGGCAGACGGGUGAGUAACAUGUAGGUAUCUUCCCUUUGGUGAGGAAUAACACGAGGAAACUUGUGCUAAUACCUCAUAAGUCUUUACAGAGAAAGCUUUAUGCGCCGAAGGAUGAGCCUGCACUUGAUUAGUUUGUUGGUGGGGUAAUGGCUUACCAAGACUUUGAUCAAUAGCUGAUCUGAGAGGAUGAUCAGCCACAUUGGGACUGAGACACGGCCCAAACUCCUACGGGAGGCAGCAGUAGGGAAUAUUGCACAAUGGAGGAAACUCUGAUGCAGCGAUGCCGCGUGAGUGAAGAAGGCCUUUGGGUUGUAAAGCUCUUUCGUCGGGGAAGAAAAUGACUGUACCCGAAUAAGAAGGUCCGGCUAACUUCGUGCCAGCAGCCGCGGUAAUACGAAGGGACCUAGCGUAGUUCGGAAUUACUGGGCUUAAAGAGUUCGUAGGUGGUUAAAAAAGUUGGUGGUGAAAUCCCAGAGCUUAACUCUGGAACUGCCAUCAAAACUUUUUAGCUAGAGUAUGAUAGAGGAAAGCAGAAUUUCUAGUGUAGAGGUGAAAUUCGUAGAUAUUAGAAAGAAUACCAAUUGCGAAGGCAGCUUUCUGGAUCAUUACUGACACUGAGGAACGAAAGCAUGGGUAGCGAAGAGGAUUAGAUACCCUCGUAGUCCAUGCCGUAAACGAUGUGUGUUAGACGUUGGAAAUUUAUUUUCAGUGUCGCAGCGAAAGCAUUAAACACACCGCCUGGGGAGUACGACCGCAAGGUUAAAACUCAAAUGAAUUGACGGGGACCCGCACAAGUAGUGGAGCAUGUGGUUUAAUUCGAAGAUACGCGCAGAACCUUACCAACACUUGACAUGUUCGUCGCGACUUUUAGAGAUAAAAGUUUUCGGUUCGGCCGGACGAAACACAGGUGCUGCAUGGCUGUCGUCAGCUCGUGUCGUGAGA
rnacentral:rRNA from 1 species